CGCGGGGUGGAGCAGUUGGUAGCUCGCCAGGCUCAUAACCUGGAGGUCGGAGGUUCAAAUCCUUCCCCCGCUAC
rnacentral:tRNA from 1 species